rnacentral:rRNA from 1 species
AACGAACGCUGGCGGCAUGCCUAACACAUGCAAGUCGAACGAGACCUUCGGGUCUAGUGGCGCACGGGUGCGUAACGCGUGGGAACCUGCCCUUAGGUUCGGAAUAACUCCCCGAAAGGGGUGCUAAUACCGGAUAAUGUCUUCGGACCAAAGAUUUAUCGCCUUUGGAUGGGCCCGCGUUGGAUUAGCUAGUUGGUAGGGUAAAAGCCUACCAAGGUGACGAUCCAUAGCUGGUCUGAGAGGAUGAUCAGCCACACUGGGACUGAGACACGGCCCAGACUCCUACGGGAGGCAGCAGUGGGGAAUAUUGGACAAUGGGCGAAAGCCUGAUCCAGCAAUGCCGCGUGUGUGAAGAAGGUCUUCGGAUUGUAAAGCACUUUAAGUUGGGAGGAAGGGCAGUAAGUUAAUACCUUGCUGUUUUGACGUUACCAACAGAAUAAGCACCGGCUAACUUCGUG